GUUAAAAAGCUCGUAGUUGAACCUUGGGUCUGGCUGGCCGGUCCGCCUCACCGCGAGUACUGGUCCGGCUGGACCUUUCCUUCUGGGGAAUCUCAUGGCCUUCACUGGCUGUGGGGGGAACCAGGACUUUUACUGUGAAAAAAUUAGAGUGUUCAAAGCAGGCCUUUGCUCGAAUACAUUAGCAUGGAAUAAUAGAAUAGGACGUGCGGUUCUAUUUUGUUGGUUUCUAGGACCGCCGUAAUGAUUAAUAGGGAUAGUCGGGGGCGUCAGUAUUCAGCUGUCAGAGGUGAAAUUCUUGGAUUUGCUGAAGACUAACUACUGCGAAAGCAUUCGCCAAGGAUGUUUUUCAUUAAUCAGGGGAACGAAAGUUAGGGGGAUCGAAGACGAUCAGAUACCGUCGUAGUCUUAACCAUAAACUAUGCCGACUAGGGGAUCGGACGGUGUUUCUAAUUAAUGACCCCGUCCGGGCAACCUUAACGAAGAAAAUCAAGUCUUCUUUGGUCCUGGGGGGGCAAGCUAAUUGGUUCCGUCCAAGGGGUCCUGGUA
rnacentral:rRNA from 1 species